GUCACAGCAUUGUGGACCGAGGGGCCUGUAUUGUGCUGUAUCUUUUGUGUGUUUCUAUGUUUCUAUUGUAACACUCACGUGACCGGCGGGUGUAUGUCUGGGGGAAAAUUCGUUCACCUGCCAAACCGCGCCUCCCAUAUACAUGGAUGCUGUGAAAUACUUGCUAAUACAAACUCGCACACACAAUAUCAAGAGCACACCAGGUACGUUUACAGAAUACACUUUAUAUAUCUUACUGGAACUAAGUGAUUAAUAACGAUACAUUAUAUAUGAAGGAAAAGAAAAUAAAGACACGGUGCCAAAACUUAUCAGAGUUCAGUCAAUUUAGUGCACAUCGUUGGAGCUCAACCAUCAAAUCCUCCGACCCCUCUUCACUCUCGUCCGACCUCCAUGACCCCCGCACCUGGGACCACCUUCAGUCAUCGACCAGCAGUGCUGCACCCAUCCACCUUCCUCGCCGUCUUCUUCCCGACUCCCCAAACAGACCACGCAAUCCCAGCUCCCAGACCCACAAGAGAAAUGACAUCCAACCCAAUUGGUUUACAAAUAAAUACAAUCCCCGUUAUCCGCAACUUUAACCCAAACAAACUUCGAGAAGCUUCGAGAGUGCUCUGCCAGAAAAGCACUCUCUCACCAGUUAGCAUAACAAAGAAGCAGUUUUACUUUUAACAAACAAAGAAGCCAUUUUGAUUAACAUACACAGUACACUAUUAUUGAUAUGUGAGUGUUGCCAGGAACAUGGAGCAAGGGGUGUGUACCUGUGGAAGGAUGCACUCAGGAGCACUCACUCAGUCAAGUAAUCUCCAUCCAACCAUCACAGAUGGAGCUUUCAACACCAACAGGAAUUGGUUAUAGCAAUGUGAAGAUUACUGGGAACAUGGAGCUAGGGGUUUGUGUAUCUGUGGAGGGAUACACUCAGGGAGCAUUCUCUCAGUCAAAUAAACUGAAUCCAAUCAUCACAGAUAGACCUUCAAAGACUGACAUGAAUUGAUUACGUGAGGUUUUCCGGGAACACGGAGCUAAACAGCAAACAAUCAGCUGGAAGACCUCAGUGGGCUGAGCAGAAUCUGCAGAGGGAGGCUCGGGGAAUGAAUUGUCCGAAGUUCCGGUCAAAUCCCAGCAUCAAAACCUGUCAACAAUUCCUUCCUUCCCACUGAGAUCCUGAUGCAAGCUUUCAACCCAAAAUGUCAACACCUCCUCUCCUCCUCCCACGGAUUCUGCUUGACCCAUCGAGUUCCCCGAGCAGACCGUCUGACCCUCCAGAUUCCAGAACCUGCAGUGUCUUGUGCCUCAAAUAUAGAGGCAAAACUGGAAUGUGAGUGGAGAGGGAGAUGAACUCUGCUUCCAUAGACCUGAUGGGCUGAAUGGACUCUCUGAAUUUUACUACAUUUCAGAAGCUGUUAGAGGAUGAGGGGAGUGAAAAGAGUUCAAACCAGCUCAGUUUCGUCCAGCCAAAUCACAUGCUAUGUUGGCACCAGAACAUCUGGUGACACAAGCUCAUCGUUAGAUUGUGUUGGAUACGAAAGCAAAUCACACAUUUCACUAACACAAGGGAUUCUGCAGAUGCAGGAAAUCCAGAGACUUUGGGCAAAAACCCUGAUGUGACCAUUAUAGUCCUGGCUGUUGGUGCGACUGUAACGAAACCCAAUUUCCCUCGGGAUCAACAAAGUAUGUCUGUCUGUCUGUCUGAUGGAGAGUCUCGGCCGGAAACGUUGACUGUUUACCCCUUUCCAUAGAUGCUGCCUGGCCUGCUGAGUUCCUCCAUCAUUCUGUGUGUUUUGACGCAUUCCACUGUACACGUUGAUGUACGUGUGAUAAAUAACUCCGAAUCUGAGCCGGAGAAGGUCAGUGAACAUCCAGGAACAUUAACGAAUGGACCGAGCCUUCACAGAGCCCUGCAGUGACUCCCUUUGCCAGCAUGUCACCUCCUGUUUCCAAACACUCCUCAAUGAGGGUGAGCUUCCAGCUAUGGCUUGUUCAUGGGCUGAGGACUGUCCUUAUAGGCAGGCUUGAUCAGAAUUAAACCAGACAAGGAGCAGGCACAGACUAAAGGGGAACGAGCUGUCUGGGAAGCUGAAAAUUUGUCGCCCAUCUAACAGAGCUUGCAGAAUGGGUGGGAUCUUGUUUAACCUUGUAAGGACACACACACAAAGUUAUUGAUGUCCUGCAGGUGUUUGCAGUUAACAGAGAACACAGAAUAUUUCUGCACAGUACAGGCCAUUCAGCCCACAAUAUUGUGACAGCCCUUUAACCUACUCUGAAAUCCAUCUGACCCUCCCCUCCUGUACCGUAUCAGAUUGAUUGUGAGAAGGUGGUGAAUACACAUCGAUCAGGCAGAGAAUUGCUUCAGCCUCAUACGUACUGGAGGCAUGCUCUUUCGGUGCAGGCCCGGCUCGUAACUGCCACACUGUAAUUGGCACAGUGUGCACUGAUACUAACAAGAAUCAGUAAACACCAGUAACCAUACCACUUCGUUAUAUUGUAAUUCUUGCUCUGUGCAUACGUAGCACCUCCCACAGAGCCCAACGUGUUUCUCUCACCCUUUCCGUCUACCUGAAUCUCUUAACUGUCCCUAAUGUGUCUGCCUCCACCAUCGCCCCUGGCAACACAGUCAAGGAUCAAUUUUAUUCCCCAUAUACACUUACAUGUAUUUGGAAUCUGCUGCUGGUCAGCAUGUGACAUGCAGCAAAACAACAUUCAACAAUUAUACAGAAUAAAGAAUUAUAUGAAUAAUAAAGGUAGAAGUUAAAGUAUGUCAAUGAAAUAAAUACACAAAUACCAGCAUGUACUUACAAUGUAAACAGCAUUAUAAAAAUUGGUUAAAGUAUUUAAAGUGCAAAGCAGUGAUUAUGGUAACAGAUAGAGGGGGGUGGGCUGUCUAACUAGAAAGGUUGUUCAGAUUAACUGCCUGGGGGAAGAGGUUUUGUAGAUGGCGUGGAGUGAUCCACUCAUUCACCACCCUCAGUGUAUGAAAAUCUAACUGUGACAUCCUCCCUAUACUUCCCUCCAAACACCUUAGACUGAUGCACCAUUGUAUUAGCCAUUUCCACCAUGGGGGAAAAAGUCUCUGGCUGUUCACUUUUUGUUUCUUAUCAUUUUGUUCACCUCUCGCAAGUCACUUUUUAUCCUCCUUUCUUCUAAAGAGAAAAGCCCUAGCUUGCUCAGCCUAUACAUUUAUGACAAGCUCUCUAAUCCAGGCAGUAUCCCAGUAAAUCUUCUCUGCACUCUAAAAUUUCCUUACCCUUCCUAUAAUGUAAAACUGAACACGAUAUCCUAAGUGUGAUCUACACAGAGUAUUCUAGAGGUGCACCGUCACCUCAUGGUAAACACAGAUCAGUGGUAAGUUGCAGAUUGAUUUAGUUAAACUAAUUAGAUACCACAAUAUUUACAUCACAGAGACAGGGUAUUUUCUCCCUCUGUCUGUGCUGGUGUUUAGUUUCUAUACAGAUCAUCUCCCAAUCAUCUUCUUCUCUCUCCAUCAACAGAUGGGCACCUCAGCAGCUCAGCCGGUAGAGAGACUGCCUGGUGGCUCAAUCACGACUUCCGUUGCUGUCCGUGUGCAGUUGGAACGUUCUCCCUGUGAAGAUGUGGAUUUCACUGGGUGCUCUGCUUUUCUCCCAUAUCCAAAAGAUGAGCCAUUUGAUGCUGGAAAUCUUGAAAAAACUGCUGGAGGAUCUCAAAGUUCAAAGUAAAUUAUUAUCAAGGUGGAACAGACAGAUUGCAAUGAAAAAUUUCUCAUUACUGAAUAUCCUGUGUUCCCUCAUGAAUGACAGAAGGCAAACAAGCAGAGUGAAGCCAGUGACAACUGUUUAUAACCAAUGGCAAUGAGAACACCAGCUCCAGGAGCAUUUUAAAAUGUAUCAUCUAACGCCACGUGUUCUCGCAACUGUCCAGCUGUCGCCAAGCCGGCUUUUCUGGGGUUUCUGGAGCCUGGUACCACGCUGUAAGUCAAAAUAAAAGUCAAAAAUAAAAAUACAUGGAGGUCAGGAGGAGUGAUGUUCUUUGGCAAAUCCUUCCCCAGUAUGAUUUGGCUCUGAAUGAACAUUGAAGAUUUGCUAAUUGUCCCUCCUCAUCCUUUCACUAAGGGGAUCAACUUGAUAAAUUAUCAGAUCAGAAUCAGGUUUAUUAUCACAGACAUACAGUAUGUUGUGAAAUGUGUUGUUUUGCCAUAGCAGUACAGUGCAAUACAUAAAAUACAUUUAA